rnacentral:lncRNA from 1 species
CGGCAAGAUGCUGUCUGGAGUUGAUAGGAGAAAUCCCACUUUUCCUGACUUUGAAGCAGGAAGGGUAUCACUAGCAGAUAAAUGAAAAGCCUGAAGGAAAUUGAUAGAAGAGGAAGAAAGUGGGGAUCGGGAGAGGAAGAAAAGAUAAAGGAAUGUUAGACUAGCAGUCUCACUCAACUUGUAGAAGCAAAAAUGUUCACCAUGACUUGACAACCAGCCUCUCCAAAUAAAAGUCAGCUGAACUUGACAAUGCUAUUAAGCUCUGGCUUCUUUUUUCUUUUCUGGUGACAAGUGGUUUUAGGCCUUGAAGUCUGGACAACUGUCAUCUCUUCUACAUUGAAACAGUUGGAUCAACUACUCCAUUUUGAAGGCUGACACAAAUCAGAUAUCCAGAAUUAAUCACGGAGCCCUUUGGACCUUGUUCUCAAAUCACAGUAGGCAAAUGAAACAUAUUAACAGUACAGACAGAAUUAUGACCACCUCCAUCAGCCAAAAUGGAUAAUCCUGGAAUAAAAUAAGAAGUAAAACGGUCAGCCUCUAUUGUAUUUGGGAAUUAGAGGACUUCUCUAAAGCUUGUACAGAAAUGGACCAUAACCCCAACUUUCCAAGUCCUACUUUACACACGCUGAGCAGUCACCUCAGAGUUUGGA